CACAAAUGAAUUUUGGUGAUUACGAAAUGUUGCAUAGGGGUUAGUGAACAACGUUUCUGAAUUUGGUUAAUUGAUUAAUUGGAAGACAUUGUAGAGUUAAUUAAUUAAUUAGGAUCCAUUUUAUACUAAAUUAAGUGACCUAAGUCCUUGGUAAGGUCAAGUCACUUAAGCCUAGUUAAAGAACCCUAUAAAUACCCCCUUAGGGGUUAGGGUUUCAAGUUAAUCGUCUUCCACCAUCUAAAGAGAAGGAAAAAGACUCGGCCUCCACCCUCCCAAACCUCCUUACCGGUGGAGUGCCAAGAUCAAGGUAAAGUCAU
rnacentral:lncRNA from 1 species